GCGUAUGUCGUAAGCGGAAAUGGCAACGUCUGCUUUGUCAGAGCAGCUGGCUUUCGUUCCAACUUUCACAGUCAUUUCCAACCGUGAAAAUUAUAAGGUUAGGUUACUCACAGAUCUCUACAAGUCAUUCUCAGUUUUAGCCAAGUUUGCAGAGGAAGCGAGUAAAGCAAUUAUUAUUCUGUGGGCUGCACCAAAAUAGAAGUUUCGACAACCAUCAUAGUACAAAAUGUGUGGUGGAUUCAAGUUCUCCAAAAAUGCUCUUAUCACUCUGAACAUUCUCUACAUUUUGGUAGGCUUUAUCUUAAUUGGAGUAGCUACCUAUGGGAAAGCUGCAAAUUUGGUAACCAGUUUACCCAUUAUUGGUGGCAUAGUAGCAUGUGGCAUUUUUCUUUUGGUAAUUGCCAUUAUGGGCUUGAUUGGCGCUGUGAAACAUCAUCAAGUUCUCCUUUUCUUUUAUAUGGUGGUCCUCUUCAUCCUCUUUGUCAUUCAAUUUGCUAUUGCCUGUGCUUGCCUUGCUGUAAAUUCAGAAACUCAGAAAACUUUGGCUGAAGCGGGCUGGAAUACCGCUGACAACGUUACCCAUGGCGAUGUCGAGAAUGCUUUUCAAUGCUGUGGAUUCCACAAUACAACUGAUAGUCCAACCUGUGUAACAAAAUGUCCAACAUGUCCCACAUGCGAAGAGCAACUUGAAACUAUGAUUAACUAUGGUUUCCGCGUGUCUGGCGGAAUUGGUCUUUUCUUCAGCUUCACUGAGUUCGUUGGAGUGUGGUUGACCGUACGCUAUCGCAAUCAAAAAAACCCGAAAGCUCAUCCUGGUGCUUUUCUCUAAUCUCUUCCUACAAGUCCAUCAGCAAUUCAAACCCUCUUUUUUCUCUUCGUGUUUACCCUACCUUUUAUCUUUCUCCUUCACACUUACAUCUUUGCAUAACACUCAUUCCUAGGACUCAAGCUUCUGGGAUUCUCAGUCGCAUAUCGCUUCAGGCAUAUGGCUGCUGGAAUGAACGAGGUGCAGUGAUCUU